GUUUUAAUCCGACACGACAAAGGUUUGUUAAAACCUUAUAAAAUAGUAAGGAAUAACUUGAGGAUAUGGACCCCACAAAGAAAAGAAUCAGACUAGUAGUUCAUGUAAAUCUGGUACACAGAACGAAUGAUUUUUACCUGAGACUGGCUGACAGGCACAUAAGUCUAUUUGCCUGGAUUUGAAUAUGACAAGGGAUUUGGACAAUUUGUCCUAGCAAGUGUGAAAUACUAACACUGUGUGAUAUUACACUGAAAACAAGCGAUGACAAGCUGUAUACAGUCAGCGAGAUUAAGUUUAUUACAAGAUGUUUAACCUCCUAUUGACCCUUCUCUACGUAUUUCCUUUAAGGUUCAAUUACUAAUGUAGAAGAUGCGGGGAAUGCAUUUCCUCACAAACAGACAAUCCAAUGUGAUGAUCUGGUCAUUCGUUUAUGAUUCCUGGGGUCUGGCCGUCCAUCUUGGCAUCCAGCGAUUGGUCUUCUAAUCCCAUACA